rnacentral:tRNA from 1 species
GGUCCGUUGGCCCAAUGGUAAGGCGUCUGACUACGACUAACAAGAGUUAAUCAGGAGAUUCUGGGUUCGACCCCCAGGCGGACCU